rnacentral:rRNA from 1 species
CCUACGGGUGGCAGCAGUGGGGAAUAUUGGACAAUGGGGGGAACCCUGAUCCAGCCAUGCCGCGUGUGUGAAGAAGGCCCUCGGGUUGUAAAGCACUUUCAGUGAGGAAGAACGCCUGGUGGUUAAUACCCAUCAGGAAAGACAUCACUCACAGAAGAAGCACCGGCUAACUCCGUGCCAGCAGCCGCGGUAAUACGGAGGGUGCGAGCGUUAAUCGGAAUUACUGGGCGUAAAGCGCGCGUAGGUGGCUUGAUAAGCCGGUUGUGAAAGCCCCGGGCUCAACCUGGGAACGGCAUCCGGAACUGUCGAGCUAGAGUGCAGGAGAGGAAGGUAGAAUUCCCGGUGUAGCGGUGAAAUGCGUAGAGAUCGGGAGGAAUACCAGUGGCGAAGGCGGCCUUCUGGACUGACACUGACACUGAGGUGCGAAAGCGUGGGUAGCAAACAGGAUUAGAUACCCUUGUAGUC